rnacentral:ncRNA from 1 species
CAUGACGUGAGGAGUGCUUUACGCCUCUUUCAGGGUCGAAACAAGGAAAGACUCCUGAAUGAGUUCUUCU